rnacentral:misc_RNA from 1 species
GCCCAACACCAUUCUAUACAAAAAUUCACAAUUGGAAGUUGAUUACAACGAAGAAGAAGAAGAAGAAGAACACUAAUAAAUUUUCUUUUAUUAUUGUUGUUUUAAGUAUUAGUUUACAUGAACAAAAGUUUUCAACACCUUGAGUUCCUCUAUCUUUGCCUCAAACGACGACUCCACACUCCCACAGGAACUCAUUCAAGCAUGAAAUAAAACAGAGGACCAAAGCAGAGCCUAAUUACAGAACAUUCUAAUUUGCACACACACGUUCAUGCCUUAAUCAACUUCUUCGAUCUUGGGCCCGGCACCAGAACCGCCGGAGCUAGUCUUGCCAUAGUUGCUGUUCGGCAUUUCGGCGCCACCCACUGGUACAUCACCCUCAGCACCGCCCUGAUACAUCUUUGCAAUAAUUGGAUU